rnacentral:rRNA from 1 species
UACAGAGGUCUCAAGCGUUGUUCGGAUUCAUUGGGCGUAAAGGGUGUCGUAGGCGGCGCCGGUAAGUCGGGUGUGAAAUUUCGGAGCUUAACUCCGAAACUGCAUUCGAUACUGCGUGCUUGAGGACUGGAGAGGAGACUGGAAUUCAUGGUGUAGCAGUGAAAUGCGUAGAGAUCAUGAGGAAGACCAGUGGCGAAGGCGGGUCUCUGGACAGUUCCUGACACUGAGACGAAGGCCAGGGGAGCAAACGGGAUUAGA